rnacentral:rRNA from 1 species
UAGUGGCGAACGGGUGAGUAACACGUGGGCAAUCUGCCCUGCACUCUGGGACAAGCCCUGGAAACGGGGUCUAAUACCGGAUAUGACCAUCUUGGGCAUCCUUGAUGGUGUAAAGCUCCGGCGGUGCAGGAUGAGCCCGCGGCCUAUCAGCUUGUUGGUGAGGUAACGGCUCACCAAGGCGACGACGGGUAGCCGGCCUGAGAGGGCGACCGGCCACACUGGGACUGAGACACGGCCCAGACUCCUACGGGAGGCAGCAGUGGGGAAUAUUGCACAAUGGGCGAAAGCCUGAUGCAGCGACGCCGCGUGAGGGAUGACGGCCUUCGGGUUGUAAACCUCUUUCAGCAGGGAAGAAGCGAAAGUGACGGUACCUGCAGAAGAAGCGCCGGCUAACUACGUGCCAGCAGCCGCGGUAAUACGUAGGGCGCGAGCGUUGUCCGGAAUUAUUGGGCGUAAAGAGCUCGUAGGCGGCUUGUCACGUCGGUUGUGAAAGCCCGGGGCUUAACCCCGGGUCUGCAGUCGAUACGGNCAGGCUAGAGUUCGGUAGGGGAGAUCGGAUUCCU